UUUUAUACACCAAGAAAAACUCGAACGUGUUCGAGCCCGACGGUAGUGUAUGAAUAAGCAUCGGCUAACUCCGUGCCAGCAGCCGCGGUAAUACGGAGGAUGCAAGCGUUAUCCGGAUUCAUUGGGUUUAAAGGGUGCGUAGGCGGCUCUUUAAGUCAGUGGUGAAAUCCUGCCGCUUAACGGUAGAAUUGCCAUUGAUACUGAAGAGCUUGAGUACAGUUGAGGUAAGCGGAAUGUGUAGUGUAGCGGUGAAAUGCUUAGAUAUUACACAGAACACCGAUUGCGAAGGCAGCUUACUAAACUGUUACUGACGCUGAUGCACGAAAGCGUGGGGAGCGAACAGGAUUAGAUACCCUGGUAGUCCACGCCGUAAACGAUGCUCACUCGCUGUUUGCGAUACACAGCAAGCGGCCAAGCGAAAGCAUUAAGUGAGCCACCUGGGGAGUACGAUCGCAAGGUUGAAACUCAAAGGAAUUGACGGGGGCCCGCACAAGCGGAGGAACAUGUGGUUUAAUUCGAUGAUACGCGAGGAACCUUACCUGGGCUUAAAUGUAGAGCGACAGCUUGUGAAAGCAGGCUUUCUUCGGACGAUCUACAAGGUGCUGCAUGGUUGUCGUCAGCUCGUGCCGUGAGGUGUCGGGUUAAGUCCCAUAACGAGCGCAACCCUUAUCGUUAGUUGCCAGCGGGUCAUGCCGGGGACUCUAGCGAGACUGCCACCGUAAAGGUGUGAGGAAGGUGGGGAUGACGUCAAAUCAGCACGGCCCUUAUGUCC
rnacentral:rRNA from 1 species